rnacentral:pre_miRNA from 1 species
UAGGUACUCCCUCCGUUUGGAAUUAUUUGUCGCGGAAAUGGAUGUAUCUAGAUGUAUUUUAGUUCUAGAUACAUCCAUUUCUGAGACAAGUAAUUCCGAACGGAGGGAGUACCAU